rfam:Trichobilharzia regenti genome assembly, scaffold: TRE_scaffold0019720
GUACUGGUGAAGAGUCCCACACUAAGACGAAACAGCUGUCCAGUAC